rnacentral:lncRNA from 1 species
ACAAUGGAUAAACAGAGAGAUAGAAAAACUACAGACAGAAAGCAUCCAUAGACCGAGAGUGUAAAACUGCUCCAGUCUUUCAAACUAUUUUCCUCUGUUUCGCUACAUAUCCACCUUUAGCGAUCCAAACGGUCAGUCUAAUGAAUGCCUUCACUCAACUGUCCACUACUGGCAGAUGGUCAGUGUGUGAAUAGGUUCACUACUGGCAGAUGGUCAGUGUGUGAAUAGGUUCACUACUGGCAGAUGGUCAGUGUGUGAAUAGGUUUACUACUGGCAAAUGGUCAGUGUGUGUGAAUAGGUUUACUACUGACAGAUGGUCAGUGUGUGAAUAGGUUUACUACUGUCAGAUGGUCAGUGUGUGAAUAGGUUUACUCCUAACAGAUGGCCAGUGUGUGUGAAAAAGUUUACUACUGACAGAUGGUCAGUGUGUUUGAAUAGGUUUACUACUGACAGAUGGUCAGUGUGUGUGAAUAGCUUUACUACUGACAGAUGGUCACUGUGUAAAUAGGUUUACUACUGACAGAAGGUCAGUGUGUGUGAAUAGGUUCACUACUGACAGAUGGUCAGUGUGUUUGAAUAGAUUCACUACUGACAGAUGGCCAGUGUGUGUGAAAAAGUUUACUACUGACAGAUGGUCAGUGUGUGAAUAGGUUUACUACUGACAGAAUAUCAGUGUGUGUGAAUAGGUUUACUACUGACAGAUGGCCAGUGUGUGUGAAUAGGUUUACUACUGACAGAUGGUCACUGUGUAAAUAGGUUUACUACUGACAGAUGGUCAGUGUGUGAAUAGGUUUACUACUGUCAGAUGGUCAGUGUGUGUGAAUAGGUUUACUACUGGCAGAUGGUCACUGUGUAAAUAGGUUUACUACUGACAGAUGGUCAGUGUGUGAAUAGGUUUACUACUGUCAGAUGGUCAGUGUGUGUGAAUAGGUUUACUACUGGCAGAUGGUCACUGUGUAAAUAGGUUUACUACUGUGUGUGUGAAUAGGUUUACUACUGACAGAUGGUCAGUGUGUGUGAAUAGGUUUACUACUGACAGAAGGUCAGUGUGUGUGAAUAGGCUUACUACUGACAGAUGGUCAGUGUGUGAAUAGGUUCACUACCGACUCAUCAUAAUUACAAAGAAAAAGCAGCUUCUGCUGCAAUACAAUAGAGACACACUGAAACACAACAACAAUAGAUAACACCCCAGAACCCAGAAACAACACCCCAGAACCCAGAAACAACACUCCAGAACCCCAAAACAACACCCCAGAACCCAGAAACAACACCCCAGAACCCCAAAACAACACUCCAGAACCCCAAAACAACACCCC